rnacentral:rRNA from 1 species
GACGAACGCUGGCGGCGUGCUUAACACAUGCAAGUCGAACGAAGUGGCGAACGGGUGAGUAACGCGUAAUCAACCUGCCCUUCAGAGGGGGACAACAGUUGGAAACGACUGCUAAUACCGCAUACGGAAGGAGGGGAUUGCGUCUGAUUAGCUAGUUGGAGGGGUAACGGCCCACCAAGGCGAUGAUCAGUAGCCUGUCUGAGGGGGUGAACGGCCACCUUGGGAAUGGGGCACGGCCCAGACUCCUUCGGGAUGCAGCAGUUGGGAAUCUUCCGCAAUGGGCGAAAGUCUGACGGGGCAACGCCGCGUGAGUGAUGCCGGCCUUCGGGUUGUAAAGCUCUGUUAUUCGGGACACGGUACCGAAAUAGAAAGCCACGGCUAACUACGUGCCAGCAGCCGCGGUAAUAC